GCUGACUGGAGCAUCUUCAACGUGUAGUGGAGCAAGUAAUAGUUGGUAAUAGCUAUGUAUGUGAGUUCAGUCUCACAGACUGAUAGCACUGAAAAUUUCAACAUUCCCCAAAUGCUAGUAAUAUUGAAAUCCAUCUUGGAACAGAGAAGUACAGAUAGUGCAACAAUUCAUUUGGUGUCGGUUUGAAGUUACGGCAUUGAAAAAAUGAGGGCGAGAACUAGCAAUGAUGAGCAUGAACGCCCUGCAUUUUGAGGAGAUGUCUAUCACACAGAUGGGAUCCUUCAGCUGACACCUGGAAAAGAGAUUCCACUGAAUAAACACUUCUCCAGCAUUCGGUCUGCCAGCACACCUUCAGACUGCAUCUCCCUGCUCACCGUCUCCUCUGCUUUUGAAGGACCCUGGAGAUUCUGGGACCUCUGCCACUGGGGGAUUAAGCUGCACAUGUCUCUCACAGCACAGAAAAGCUAGAACAUCAUGUUAUUUCCAUUCAUUUGCUUCUUGUGUUCCGUCAAAGGCCUGCCUUGCUCCUGCGUUCCACGCCAAGUACUCGUCUUCCAGUUGCUAUGGCGCUGCUGCUGGGUUGGUAUUAAUAUGCUGAGUAACUUUGAAUCUUUGAUCCUUCUACUUUUCAAUGCCUUUUAUGAGGUGUUUCCCACUUGAUGGCAUAGCCUGCAUUCCCAGGGAAUGAUUAAACAAAACAUGAAAUGUGGACACUCUGAAUGAAGAAAUCUGCUUUGCAAGGGCUCCCAGUAGCAAUGGCAGAAUUCUAGGACAGACUGAAAGAGCCACAAAAUGAACCCGGAGAAUAAUUCUUCAGUUUAUUGCAUCCUGUACACUGUGCGCCCUUGCUAUGCUAAUUUGCAGAGUCAGAUAGAUUGGCCCUGUUUGCGACAGUGGUAAUUUCCCUGCAAUCAUCACAUACAACUCUCUGUGCACACUGUCUGAAAUUGUCCAGAUGUAUUGGAACUGAAACUUCUGUAUGCCCAGUUAGUUUGGUUACUUGCCAGGCUGGCUAGAUAUUCUGGAUAUUGAAAGUGCAGCUUAUGUGGACAGUGCCAGUUAAGGAAAGACUGGUGUGUGGUAUUAUAAAGAUUACUCUUGUCAUUUGGCUGAAAUACAGACAAACACACUGUACAAGCAAAUAUACAUACAGCCUCACUGAUACUCAUUCCUUCCACUUAUUGCUAUCCCUGCCUGUUAUAAGGAACAAAGAGCCAUUCACUAUUUUUUUUUAAGAACGUCACCAGGCUUUUCACAAUUCUUCUACUGGAACAUUUUUUUUGCUCUCCUCCUAACUAAAGCCCUAGCAUGCCUCACUACAGAAAUUCCAUGACAUAACACAGAAUAGGGGAAGUUUCCAUGUGUUAUCUGUGCUUCUGCUUGUGUUAUGGAGUGCCAUACUGCCUAUUUACCUAAUGCAUUUAUCACCAAACUGACAACAGCCUUCCAGUUUUGAACCUUUCUCAGUCCUAUGCGGAGAUGCUGAAGAUGGACCUGAGGUCUUCCGUAUCCAAAGUUUCUAUGUCCAUUUCUCAAUACGGGUGCUGUGUCUGCUGGUAGAGACACAAUACUCUCUCUUUGAGGGGGAGGGGAGAAACCACACAAUAACCCCAAAUGGUGCAGAAUAACAAAAUAAGAGUUGGAAGGUACCUUGGAGGCCUUCUAGUCCAAAUCCCUGCUCAGGCUGGAAACCCUAUAGCAUUUCAGACAAAUGGCUGUCCAGUGUCUUUUUAAAAACAUCCAGUGCUGAAGCAUUUACAAC